GAUGAACGCUGGCGGCGUGCCUAAUACAUGCAAGUCGAGCGAACAGAUGAGGAGCUUGCUCCUCUGACGUUAGCGGCGGACGGGUGAGUAACACGUGGAUAACCUACCUAUAAGACUGGGAUAACUUCGGGAAACCGGAGCUAACACCGGAUAAUAUAUUGAACCGCAUGGUUCAAUAGUGAAAGACGGUUUUGCUGUCACUUAUAGAUGGAUCCGCGCCGCAUUAGCUAGUUGGUAAGGUAACGGCUUACCAAGGCAACGAUGCGUAGCCGACCUGAGAGGGUGAUCGGCCACACUGGAACUGAGACACGGUCCAGACUCCUACGGGAGGCAGCAGUAGGGAAUCUUCCGCAAAGGGCGAAAGCCUGACGGAGCAACGCCGCGUGAGUGAUGAAGGUCUUCGGAUCGUAAAACUCUGUUAUUAGGGAAGAACAAAUGUGUAAGUAACUAUGCACGUCUUGACGGUACCUAAUCAGAAAGCCACGGCUAACUACGUG
rnacentral:rRNA from 1 species